CCUACGGGGUGCAGCAGUGGGGAAUAUUGCACAAUGGGGGAAACCCUGAUGCAGCGACGCCGCGUGAGUGAAGAAGUAAUUCGUUAUGUAAAGCUCUAUCAGCAGGGAAGAAAAUGACGGUACCUGAGUAAGAAGCCCCGGCUAACUACGUGCCAGCAGCCGAGGUAAUACGUAGGGGGCAAGCGUUAUCCGGAUUUACUGGGUGUAAAGGGGGCGUAGACGGGAGGGCAAGUGUGGAGUGAAAGGCGGGGGCUCAACCCCCGGACUGCGCUGGAAACUGUACGGCUGGAGUGCAGGAGAGGUAAGUGGAAUUCGUGGUGUAGCGGUGAAAUGCGUAGAUAUUAGGAAGAACACCAGUGGCGAAGGCAGCUUACUGGACUGUAACGGACGUUGAGGCUCGAAAGCGUGGGGAGCAAACAGGAUUAGAUACCCGAGUAGUC
rnacentral:rRNA from 1 species